GUCAUCUCUACUUUUUAAUCAGUCACCUGUAGUCACUUUAAAAUAAAGCAGUCCGGGUUCUUUUAUUUUAACCCUGCAAUGUAAAACAUUACCGUUUUUUAGAAACGGAUAGAUUUGUUAAGGGGUAAAGUACGUGUAUGUUUGCCUAGACUCUCUACACAUGCAAUUCAAGAUCUGAUUUAGAUCUUACAACUUACAUGCU